GGGUUGUGAGGUUAAGUGACUAAGCGUACACGGUGGAUGCCUAGGCAGUCAGAGGCGAUGAAGGGCGUGCUAAUCUGCGAAAAGCGUCGGUAAGGUGAUAUGAACCGUUACAACCGGCGAUACCCGAAUGGGGAAACCCAGUGUGUUUCGACACAUUAUCAUGUCAUGAAUACAUAGUGGCAUGAGGCGAACCGGGGGAACUGAAACAUCUAAGUACCCCGAGGAAAAGAAAUCAACCGAGAUUCCCCCAGUAGCGGCGAGCGAACGGGGAGGAGCCCAGAACCUGAAUCGGCUUGUGUGUUAGUGGAAGCGUCUGGA
rnacentral:rRNA from 1 species